GUUGAGAGAGACGUCAUUUGAGAGACUCUCAUGUCCUUUUACAGCACAGGAGUAAUUGCCUGCAUCCUCACUGCUGACUGGGUCUAGAUGCAGCUUGUUGUCUCUGGUUGUGUGUUUAUAGGUCACAGGCUGUCCAUUCUUGUACCAGAUGAAGGUGGGGUCAUUAUUCAGAGUACAGGUAGUAUUACAGGUGAGUGUGACUCGGUCUCUCUCUUUCACUGAAGUAGGAGUGAUCAGAAGCUGCAGAGCUAGAGUAUGAGUGGUUAAAGGGGUUAUACAGCCUACUGUAUAGACUGAAGGGUUAAAGGGGUUAUAUACUGUAUAGACUGAAGGGUUAAAGGGGUUAUACAGCCUACUGUAUAGACUGAAGGGUUAAAGGGGUUAUAUACUGUAUAGACUGAAGGGUUAAAGGGGCUAUAUAGCCUACUGUAUAGACUGAAGGGUU